UGGGGAAUAUUGCACAAUGGGCGCAAGCCUGAUGCAGCCAUGCCGCGUGUGUGAAGAAGGCCUUCGGGUUGUAAAGCACUUUCAGCGAGGAGGAAGGUGGUGAGCUUAAUACGCUCAUCAAUUGACGUUACUCGCAGAAGAAGCACCGGCUAACUCCGUGCCAGCAGCCGCGGUAAUACGGAGGGUGCAAGCGUUAAUCGGAAUUACUGGGCGUAAAGCGCACGCAGGCGGUUUGUUAAGUCAGAUGUGAAAUCCCCGGGCUCAACCUGGGAACUGCAUUUGAAACUGGCAAGCUAGAGUCUCGUAGAGGGGGGUAGAAUUCCAGGUGUAGCGGUGAAAUGCGUAGAGAUCUGGAGGAAUACCGGUGGCGAAGGCGGCCCCCUGGACGAAGACUGACGCUCAGGUGCGAAAGCGUGGGGCAGCAAACAGGAUUAGAUACCCUGGUGUCCACGCUGUAAACGAUGUCGAUUUGGAGGUUGUGCCCUUGAGGCGUGGCUUCCGGAGCUAACGCGUUAAAUCGACCGCCUGGGGAGUACGGCCGCAAGGUUAAAACUUAAAUGAAUUGACGGGUCUAGCUGUUCC
rnacentral:rRNA from 1 species